GAUCCUGGCUCAGGAUGAACGCUGGCGGCGUGCUUAACACAUGCAAGUCGAACGAUUGAAGCUGGAGCUUGCUCCGGCCGAUUUAGUGGCGGACGGGUGAGUAACGCGUGGGUAACCUGCCUCAUACAGGGGGGAUAGCAGUUGGAAACGACUGGUAAAACCGCAUAAGCGCACGGUGUCGCAUGACACAGUGUGAAAACACUCCGGUGGUAUGAGAUGGACCCGCGUCUGAUUAG
rnacentral:rRNA from 1 species